rnacentral:rRNA from 1 species
GACGAACGCUGGCGGCGUGCUUAACACAUGCAAGUCGAGCGGUAAGGCCCUUUCGGGGGUACACGAGCGGCGAACGGGUGAGUAACACGUGGGUGACCUGCCCUCAGCUCUGGGAUAAGCCUGGGAAACCGGGUCUAAUACUGGAUAUGACUCCAUGACGCAUGUUGUGGGGUGGAAAGCCUUGUGCGGCUGAGGAUGGGCCCGCGGCCUAUCAGCUUGUUGGUGGGGUGAGGCCUACCAAGGCGACGACGGGUAGCCGGCCUGAGAGGGCGACCGGCCACACUGGGACUGAGACACGGCCCAGACUCCGUACGGGAGCAGCAGGUGGGGAAUCUUGCGCAAGUGGGCGAAAGCCUGACGCAGCGACGCCGCGUGA